GACGAACGCUGGCGGCGUGCUUAACACAUGCAAGUCGAACGAAGAGCGACGGAAGCUUGCUUCUAUCAAUCUUAGUGGCGAACGGGUGAGUAACGCGUAAUCAACCUGCCCUUCAGAGGGGGACAACAGUUGGAAACGACUGCUAAUACCGCAUACGAUCUAACCUCGGCAUCGAGGAUAGAUGAAAGUUGGCCUCUACAUGUAAGCUAUCACUGAAGGAGGGGAUUGCGUCUGAUUAGCUAGUUGGAGGGGUAACGGCCCACCAAGGCGAUGAUCAGUAGCCGGUCUGAGAGGAUGAACGGCCACAUUGGGACUGAGACACGGCCCAGACUCCUACGGGAGGCAGCAGUGGGGAAUCUUCCGCAAUGGACGAAAGUCUGACGGAGCAACGCCGCGUGAGUGAUGACGGCCUUCGGGUUGUAAAGCUAUGUUAAUCGGGACGAAAGGCCUUCUUGCGAAUAGUGAGAAGGAUUGACGGUACCGGAAUAGAAAGCCACGGCUAACUACGUG
rnacentral:rRNA from 1 species